ensembl:lncRNA
UUGCAAAAUAUGUUGCUUUAUUAAAUCAGUACAGAGAAAUAUUCUCCAAAGAUAAUUAAUGUAAAAUCUAAGACAUUCUGCUAUAUCUCACUUAAAAUCUACCUCCAAGCGAAAGCACAGCUUCACUUAUAAGCAUCUAGGACCUAAAACUAGAGAAUUUGUUUAACAUUACAAGUUUAAAAAAGUUUUAAAAACCUCAGUUCAAUUCAAUAAGAACACAAAUGUUCAGUCCUACUACCAAAUCAUCAUCAAAAAACUAAAUAUUGCAACAUAAAAAAUUUUGUUGAAUCAGAUAAUGAUUUUUGCUAAUUCAGAAACAAUUUACCUUUAUACUCUAUUUCAAAGGAAAUCUGGGGGCGUGAAAUAGAAACCCUGAUUUAAAAAGAUGACACUCUAAAUAUGAUUAUUUUACAUUAAAUUGGCAUUUCCUUCAAAAGAAUGAAAUAAUUAUAACUAUUUGACUCUAAUUUUUUUAUUUUUGACGUGAAAAAUAUUUAAUGAUGUUAUGAAAUCCUACCUCCAACAACAGAGAGAGUUAUGACAACCAUAGAAAUAAAUAUCAGCGAUGUCAAAGAAAACACUGGCAAGCCCAUAAGGAAAUCAUGAACUUCAUUUCUCUUUUCAGAGGUUUUUUCUCCCCCAAAGACACUGACUGGUUUCCAUAAUCACUCACAUUGACAUCACUGAGGCGACUUGCUGUUGUGGUGCUUUUGACUUCUAUGUUAGAUUCUAGUGCCAGUGAAUAUCCAGAUCAUAUUAUCCCAUUUGUCUUUGGAGUGAAGAUGGUAAACAACUGUUUUUCCAAAGAUGUCUUCAUCUUUUGGAUUAAUAUUUUGCCAUAACUUUACAAAUUUCCAAAUUUUUCAGUCUUCAUAUAAUGGAAAUUUAAAAUGAGACUCCAGGACUGAAACCAGUUUUUGUUGAACCCAACUAAUCCCCAAAAGGCUUUGAACAAAGACUUUAAAUAGGUCACUUAAAGAGCUAUUGUCGUCAUGAUUAAAUACUGAAGAGUGAAAUCUCUGGAUCAAAUGGUAACUCUAUGUUUACCAUUUUGAGGAAAUGUCAAUCUGUUUUCUAAAGUGGCUGCACCAUUUUACAUUCCCACCAGCAAUAUGCUAUGGUUCCAAUUUCUCCAUACCCUCCUCACCAACACUUGUUACUGUCUAUCUUUUUUAUUAUAACCAUUAUAGCAGAUGUGAAGUGAUAUCUCAUUGUGGUUUUAAUUUGCAUUUCCCUAAGGACUAAUGAUUUUGAGCAUUUUUUCAUGUGCUUAUUAGUCAUUCACAUAUGUUCUUGAGAGAAAUGUCUAUUCAAAUCAUUUGCACAUUUUUAAAUUGGAUUAUCUAUCUUUUUAUUAUUGAAUUGUAAGUUAUUUUUAUAUUCCAUAUACAGGUUCCUUAUCAGAUAUAUGCUUUUCAAAAAUUGUCUCCCUAUCUUGGGUUAUAUUUUCACUUUCUUGAUGGUAUCGUUUGAAGCACGAUAAAACAUAUGCCCCACACAUGCACAUACCACACAAAAUACGUAAAUGAAUGUUCAAAGCAAUAUUAUUCAUAAUAGCCAAAAAAAGAAAAGAACUCAAAUGUGCUUCACCCAUUGAAAGAAAAAACAAAAUGUGUUACAUCCAUACAGUGGAAUCGUAUUUGGCAAUAAAAAACAAUGAGGUACUGAUAGCUGCAACACGGAUGAAUCUCAAAAACAUUAUGCUUAGUGAAAGAAACCGUCACAAAAGACCACAUAUUGUAUCAUCAUAUUUAAAAUGUCCAGAAUAGUCAAUUCUAUAAAGACAAAAAAUAUAUUAAUGGUUGCCUAGGGCUAGGGAGGUAAAGGUGAGGGAUGAAAAGGGGGAAUGUGGAGUGGCUGCCAAGGGACACAAGGUUUCUUUGGGGCAGGAUGAAAUGUUCUAAAAUUAUAUUAUGGUGAUAGUUUCACAACUCUGUAAAUACACUAAAACCAUUGAAUUGUACACUCUAAACAGAUGAACUUUAUGAUAUGUAAAUUAUAUCUCAAAAAUGCUGUUUUUUAAAAAACUCGUGUACAAUCUUCACAUAUAUGAAAGGUAAGCCAGAACCCCUUAAGGAAGUACCCUAAUACACUUCCAGAAGUUAUACUGUAAGUCUUCCUCUUAUUCUUCCCCAAAGGGACUUACAGGCGACUGUGCAAUUGGGGAAGAAAAAAUAAUUAAACUUUUGAGGGAUUACUAGACAGCAGCUCUGUAUCAGCACCAAUUCCUGCAGAUUCCAAAUGCCAGUAUGGUCCUAUGGUCCACCAGUCAGAGGAAGGGCUUAUGUAGAUCAGGUGACCAACAGAGUUUGGGCUUGGGAUUUGUCAUUCAGAAUAUAUAGUGAGCCCCAUGGGUUUCCAACCCACACUGUGGUUAUUUCCUGUUUCUGGAAUGCAUAGCUGGAAUAGAUAUCAUCAGCAACUGGCAAAAUCCCACUUUCAGUUCUCUGGCCAUGGAGUGAGGGUUAUUACAGUAGGAAAACUCAAGUAGUACCCUAAAAAGCAACAUGAUAUUUUUGGAAGAACUGCAGAUUAAUUACACUGUAAAGGACUUCAAGGAUACAGAUAUGAUUCCCUUCAUAUCCCCAUUCAACUCACCUAUUUGGCCUCUACAGAAGACAGAUGUAUCUUGGAAAAUUAUAGUGGAUUUUCAUAAACUUAAUCACAUAGUGACUCCAAAUCCAGCUGCUAUUUCAGCUAUUGUUUCUUUACUGAAGCAAAUUAACACAUCCUCCAGUAUGCAGCUAUUGAUCUGUCAAUUUUUUUCUUCUCCAUGGUGAAGACCAUCAGAAGCAGUUUUCUUUCAGUUGGUAGGACCAGCAAUAUACCUUUACAGUCCUAUCU